rnacentral:rRNA from 1 species
UAAAGAAAGCGUAAUAGCUCACUGGUCUAGAGUCUCUGCGCCGAAAAUUCAACGGGGCUCAAGUAUGGCACCGAAGUCGUAGACUCCUCCGGGAGUGGUAGCCGAGCGUUCCGUAAGCCUGUGAAGGUGAACCGUGAGGUUUGCUGGAGGUAUCGGAAGUGAUUAUGCCGUCAUGAGUAACGAUAAAACAGGUUACAAGCCUGUUCGCCGUAAGCCCAAGGUUUCCUGCGCAAGGGUAAACCGCGCAGGGUUAGCCGGCCCCUAAGCCGAGGCCGAAAGGCGUAGCUGAUGGAAAACGGGUUA